AAACAGCCCCCUAUGUAUUAGAUCUUUGGCAGUUUUGGCCCCCACAGCCACUUUUGACCUAGUCUUCGCUGACGUGCCACCCACAUCCCUUAAGUGAGGUGCCACGUGUCGACCAUUGUGGGUGCCACGUCAGCAAAUACUAAGUCAAAAGUGGCCUUGGGGGCCAAAACUGCCAAAGAUCCAAUACAUAGGGGGCUGUUU
rfam:Medicago truncatula strain A17 chromosome 4, whole genome shotgun sequence.